GCAGGCUGAUCCCUUCGGGGUGAUGCCUGUGGAAUGAGCGGCGGACGGGUGAGUAACACGUGGGCAACCUGCCUUACAGACUGGGAUAACUCCGGGAAACCGGGGCUAAUACCGGAUGACCAACGGAGUCACAUGACUCUGUUGUAAAAGUUGGGAUUUAUCCUAACACUGUGAGAUGGGCCCGCGGCGCAUUAGCUAGUUGGUGAGGUAAUGGCUCACCAAGGCGACGAUGCGUAGCCGACCUGAGAGGGUGAUCGGCCACACUGGAACUGAGACACGGUCCAGACUCCUACGGGAGGCAGCAGUAGGGAAUCAUCCGCAAUGGGCGAAAGCCUGACGGUGCAACGCCGCGUGAACGAUGAAGGUCUUCGGAUUGUAAAGUUCUGUUGUCAGGGAAGAACACGUGCCGUUCGAACAGGGCGGCACCUUGACGGUACCUGACCAGAAAGCCCCGGCUAACUACGUGCCAGCAGCCGCGGUAAUACGUAGGGGGCAAGCGUUGUCCGGAAUUAUUGGGCGUAAAGCGCGCGCAGGCGGUCUCUUAAGUCUGAUGUGAAAGCCCACGGCUCAACCGUGGAGGGUCAUUGGAAACUGGGGGACUUGAGUGUAGGAGAGGAAAGUGGAAUUCCACGUGUAGCGGUGAAAUGCGUAGAUAUGUGGAGGAACACCAGUGG
rnacentral:rRNA from 2 species